AGGUCUGUAGCUCCAACUGGUAGAGCGGCGGUCUCCAAAACCGUAGGUUGACGGUUCGAAUCCGUCCAGGCCUGCCA
rnacentral:tRNA from 5 species